rnacentral:rRNA from 1 species
UACAGAGGGCUCAAGCGUUGUUCGGAAUCAUUGGGCGUAAAGGGCGCGUAGGCGGCGGUGUAAGUCGGGUGUGAAAUCUCAGAGCUCAACUCUGAAACUGCACUCGAUACUGCUCUGCUUGAGGACUGGAGAGGAGACUGGAAUUUACGGUGUAGCAGUGAAAUGCGUAGAGAUCGUAAGGAAGACCAGUGGCGAAGGCGGGUCUCUGGACAGUUCCUGACACUGAGGCACGAAGGCCAGGGGAGCAAACGGG